rnacentral:rRNA from 1 species
UACGGGGGGGGGCACGCGUUGUUCGGAAUUACUGGGCGUAAAGGGCGCGUAGGCGGCCUUCUAAGUCGGACGUGAAAUCCCUCGGCUUAACCGAGGAACUGCGUCCGAUACUGAAAGGCUUGAAUCCGGGAGAGGGAUGUGGAAUUCCAGGUGUAGCGGUGAAAUGCGUAGAUAUCUGGAGGAACACCGGUGGCGAAGGCGGCAUCCUGGACCGGUAUUGACGCUGAGGCGCGAAAGCUAGGGGAGCAAACAGG